rnacentral:tRNA from 1 species
GGGGAGGUUACCAUAGCCCGGUAAUGGAGCGGCCUGCUAAGCCGUUGCCGGCGCAAGCCGGUCGCGGGUUCGAAUCCCGCCCUCUCCG